AGGUGCCUCCUCCUUCUCUCCCAAAUCUGCCAACAGCCAGAACCUGAGCCAGCUGAGUAAGGACAGAAGCACAGCCUUCUCCUGUUUGAGCCUUGAGCUGAGACCCAGCCACCACCUUGACUGCAGGUGGUGAGAGAUCCCAAGCCAACUUCAUUUCCCCAACUAAGCCAUACUCAGAUUCCUGCCCCACAGAAACUGAAAUAAUAAAUGCUUGUUGCGGAAGGUUCAUUACACAUCACAGUUCAGUCUAACCUGCAUUUGGGGAUGUAAGGGAACCAAUUGCUGUCCAUGCUUCUGCAAAGACUUGUGAAGGCAGAGAUAUG
rnacentral:lncRNA from 13 species